UACGGAGGGGGCUAGUGUUGUUCGGAAUUACUGGGCGUAAAGCGCACGUAGGCGGCUUUGUAAGUUAGAGGUGAAAGCCUGGAGCUCAACUCCAGAACUGCCUUUAAGACUGCAUCGCUUGAAUCCAGGAGAGGUGAGUGGAAUUCCGAGUGUAGAGGUGAAAUUCGUAGAUAUUCGGAAGAACACCAGUGGCGAAGGCGGCUCACUGGACUGGUAUUGACGCUGAGGUGCGAAAGCGUGGGGAGCAAACAGG
rnacentral:rRNA from 1 species